GACGAACGCUGGCGGCGUGCCUAAUACAUGCCAGUCGAGCGAGCGAAACUAACAGAUUUACUUCGGUAAUGACGUUAGGAAAGCGAGCGGCGGAUGGGUGAGUAACACGUGGGGAACCUGCCCCAUAGUCUGGGAUACCACUUGGAAACAGGUGCUAAUACCGGAUAAGAAAGCAGAUCGCAUGAUCAGCUUUUAAAAGGCGGCGUAAGCUGUCGCUAUGGGAUGGCCCCGCGGUGCAUUAGCUAGUUGGUAAGGUAAAGGCUUACCAAGGCGAUGAUGCAUAGCCGAGUUGAGAGACUGAUCGGCCACAUUGGGACUGAGACACGGCCCAAACUCCUACGGGAGGCAGCAGUAGGGAAUCUUCCACAAUGGACGCAAGUCUGAUGGAGCAACGCCGCGUGAGUGAAGAAGGUUUUCGGAUCGUAAAGCUCUGUUGUUGGUGAAGAAGGAGAGAGGUAGUAACUGGCCUUUAUUUGACGGUAAUCAACCAGAAAGUCACGGCCAACUACGUG
rnacentral:rRNA from 1 species